rnacentral:rRNA from 1 species
GUGCCAGCAGCCGCGGUAAUACGGAGGAGGCAAGCGUUAUCCGGAAUCAUUGGGCGUAAAGCGUCCGCAGGUGGCUAUUCAAGUCUGCUGUCAAAGCACGGGGCUUAACCCUGUCAAGGCGGUGGAAACUGAAAGGCUAGAGAGAGGUAGGGGUAGAGGGAAUUCCCAGUGUAGCGGUGAAAUGCGUAGAGAUUGGGAAGAACAUCGGUGGCGAAAGCGCUCUACUGGACCUCAUCUGACACUCAGGGACGAAAGCUAGGGGAGCGAAUGGGAUUAGAAACCCUCGUAGUCC